rnacentral:tRNA from 1 species
GCGCCCGUAGCUCAGCUGGAUAGAGCAUCGCACUUCUAAUGCGACGGUCGCAGGUUCGAAUCCUGCCGGGCGUAC